rnacentral:rRNA from 1 species
GCAAUAAGGUGAAACCGCGAAUGGCUCAUUAAAUCAGUUAUGGUUCCUUAGAUGGUGGACAGUUACUUGGAUAACUGUGGUAAUUCUAGAGCUAAUACAUGCAUCUCGGUCCCGACCGGAGACGGAGGGGCGCUUUUAUUAGAUCAAAACCAAUCGGUCCUCGCGGCCGUUUGCCUUGGUGACUCUGAAUAAAUUGUGGCAGAUCGCACGGUCUCCGUACCGGCGACGCAUCUUUCAAAUGUCUGCCUUAUCAACUGUCGAUGGUAGGUUCUGCGCCUACCAUGGUUGUAACGGGUAACGGGGAAUCAGGGUUCGAUUCCGGAGAGGGAGCCUGAGAAACGGCUACCACAUCCAAGGAAGGCAGCAGGCGCGCAAAUUACCCACUCCCGGCACGGGGAGGUAGUGACGAAAAAUAACGAUACGGGACCAUCCGAGGCCCCGUAAUCGGAAUGAGCACACUUUAAAUCCUUUAACGAGUAUCCAUUGGAGGGCAAGUCUGGUGCCAGCAGCCGCGGUAAUUCCAGCUCCAAUAGCGUAUAUUAAAGUUGUUGCGGUUAAAAAGCUCGUAGUCGGACUUGUGUCCCACGCUGCCGGUUCACCGCCCGUCGGUGUCUAACUGGCAUGCACGUGCGGACGUCCUGCCGGUGGCCCUAACCGGCGCGUCUCGGGGUCGGUAACGUCUUUGGGCGCGUUUUGGGGAGGGCCUACUCAUACCUGUCGCGGUGCUCUUAACCGAGUGUCUCGGUGGGCCGGCACGUUUACUUUGAACAAAUUAGAGUGCUUAAAGCAGGCAGCAGCCGCCUGAAUACCGAGUGCAUGGAAUAAUGGAAUAGGACCUCGGUUCUAUUUUGUUGGUUUUCGGAAUCCCCGAGGUAAUGAUCAAUAGGGACAGACGGGGGCAUUCGUAUUGCGACGUUAGAGGUGAAAUUCUUGGAUCGUCGCAAGACGGACCGAAGCGAAAGCAUUUGCCAAGAAUGUUUUCUCUGAUCAAGAACGAAAGUUAGAGGUUCGAAGGCGAUCAGAUACCGCCCUAGUUCUAACCAUAAACGAUGCCAGCCAGCAAUCCGCCGAAGUUCCUCCGAUGACUCGGCGGGCGGCUUCCGGGAAACCAAAGCUUUUGGGUUCCGGGGGAAGUAUGGUUGCAAAGCUGAAACUUAAAGGAAUUGACGGAAGGGCACCACCAGGAGUGGAGCCUGCGGCUUAAUUUGACUCAACACGGGAAACCUCACCAGGCCCGGACACCGGGAGGAUUGACAGAUUGAGAGCUCUUUCUUGAUUCGGUGGGUGGU